UACAGAGGGUGCGAGCGUUAAUCGGAAUUACUGGGCGUAAAGCGUGCGUAGACGGUUAUUUAAGUCGGGUGUGAAAGCCCCGGGCUCAACCUGGGAAUUGCAUUCGAGACUGAAUAGCUAGGGUACGGUAGAGGGAAGUGGAAUUUCCGGUGUAGCGGUGAAAUGCGUAGAUAUCAAGUGGAACACCAGUGGCGAAGGCGAGUCCCUGGACAACACCUGACACUGAGGCACGAAAGCUAGGGGAGCAAACAGG
rnacentral:rRNA from 1 species